ensembl:lncRNA
UAUAUGUUUUAAUGCAUCAGACACCAACAUAAUGCUACGACCCUACAGAACAUUACCUCUGGUCUUUUGUUCAAGGUGAACACAUCAUUUCACCAUGGAGCUUCUCACAGUUCAGUCACUUUCUGUAAAUCUAAUCCCGGAAAAUUUACUCACAAUUUAGGAAACAUUAGAAGCAUUUUUCAGUAAGUGAACACAUCAUUUCACCAUGGAGCUUCUCACAGUUCAGUCACUUUCUGUAAAUCUAAUCCCGGAAAAUUUACUCACAAUUUAGGAAACAUUAGAAGCAUUUUUCAGUAAGUGAACACAGGCUUUCAGUUAAGAACAACACGGUAAUGUUAAGCAUUUUAAAUGUUAAUAAUUUCUUUAUUCAAGAACCCACUUUGAUUACUAAGCAGGCAAUUAAGAAUAUUAUUUAAAUGCAAGUGAUUAGUCAAUACUGGAAAAUAAGAAACAGAACAGAGCGAUCAAUAAAGAAAAACAUUUGGGGAUAACGAAUGUUUAGUUUGAGUUGUGGGUGACACCUUUUCAUAUGAAGUAGUAUUAAGAAAUAAAUAUCUACAUUGAACAUUUUUAUAAGAAAUUCUUGUGCACUCCCUCUUUUUUAAGAAAAGGAUCUAAAUAUUCCAUACAAUGAUUGAAUUUGCAUCUAAUUAUUUAUCCAACUAUUCCUUUGCUGAUGUUUCUAAUUGGUUAACAGAAACAUAAUAAGGAGUUUACUAGUUGGAGUGCAGCAAAUAUGCGUUUAUGUCCUACAUGCAGUACUUGAUAUCACUGUGAGGGCUUUGAUUCUGCCUCGACACUGGAUCACGAGUGGACACAGUAGGAGCUGAGGAGAAUAAAAAGAACCAUAAAGACAUCUGAAGCUGCAGAACAGUUCAGACCAAGACAUGGAUGUAACCUUUGACUUAAGGUGCCAAGCAGACAAACAAAUCUAUUGUUAAUUAAUGUUACUUCAUACACUUAAAUACACAUUACUAUUUAUUCUAACAGGGUGGGAUUAAUUCAUCUGCUGCUUGCCAGCUUAAUUCUGAUCAUAUAUAGAGCCAUAUUUUGUUUACAAAUAACAGCACAAGGUUAUUUAAUCUAUAAGUCUAUAGUGUUUGACAUCAACUACUUAAAGUAUCUGGCAUAAUACUUGCACAGUGCUGCUAUUUGGUUAACAGAAACUUAGUAAGUAAUAUCCUAUUUGGAGAGUACAGAAUUGGUGUUUAUUUCCUCUACCUGCAGUAGCUGUUGUCAUUGUGGAGGCAUCGGAUUGCUCUGUAGCUUCAGGACUUUUAUUCUGUCUCGAUACUAGAGCAGGAGUAGACACAGUAGGAACAACUUAGGAUCGAUAUGAAACCAUAAGAAACAUGUAUUAUAGUUCAGACCAAGUCAUGAAUUGAUUCAACUUUCAACUUAAUGCCUCAAGCAGAAUGUUGUAAAAUUACUUAUAUAAUAUAAUAUAAUAUAUACACAUUACUGUAUUAAUUGACUUGCUGCUUGCCACAUCAUCUUAAAUUUGAUUAUAACUAUUCACAUCUUAUUUGUGACUAAGAUCAACAAUACCUAAGUCAUGUAUACCUUCACCGACAGUAAGCUUUACUAUAGUUAACUUGUCUUUGCCCCAUGUAUCCACUCCACAGUAAUAAACUCCAGAGUCAUUUAAUGUGAGGUGUCUGAUGGUGACAGAGAAGCGACGUGCAGACAGAGUGUUUACUGCAGAGUAUCUUUCCUUAGAGACGACCGUAUCAGCCUUCACAGAUUUAAUUAGUACAUCAAAAGGAGAGCAUGGAUCACGACAGAAGUACAUGGGUGUAUAUUGAUAUCCAGCAGGGUAUUUACAGGAGAUAUCCACACUGCCUCCUUCUGUUCCAAUAAAAACACUUUCAGCCUUGACCUUCAUUGUCACACAUAUCAGAACUAAAAACACAGAUAAACAUUGUAAAU